UUGUAUAUUUUAACAUGUUGUAAAUUGAUUAGAAUUCAUGUAAAUAAAUGCUUUAAAUUUCAUUGCACAGCUUUAGUCAUUUUAUUUUAUCAUGAUACUUAGCCUGCCUUAACUAACUAUCACUCACAGCCAGUUCACUGAGCAUGCUUACCGCAUGUUCACCACACAGCACAAUAACAUAAGCCCUUCCCCACCUAGGUCCUUUUGUCUUUAUAGCCAGCUUGGACAAUCAGCUAAUCUUUACACUUUUACACAUUACAAGGUUUGUGGUCACUCCACAUUCAAUCUUCAGUGUGUCAACAUGUCUUGUUCAUUUUCUGGACAUACCUUAGGAUCAUAUCUUUGGAUCAUAUUCUAAGGCAAACAUUUAAUACAGAUACAGCAGCGUCCCCAGGUGUGAAAUAAACCUAGGCCCACACACCUGGGUUGUCGUUUUCACCUAUACCAUAUCUCCAAUAAAUCAUCGGCCAUUGAAGAACAACAAAAGUAGCGUCUGUUGUCUGUGCGUGACUGACGCAGUCCUGCUACAUUGGAGCCCCCAGUGAGGAAUGGCCUAACUGGAGAUUUGAGGGCGAGCUUGCUGUCAUCAACAUUCGAGAUCCUAUCCACAACCGCUCACGGAACCAUGACGUGAUCAACGGUAACAACGUGACGCGAGGUGCGUUUUGUCCUGUGAUAUAUACAACUUGUAUCUUGUUACCUGCAGAUAUAGAGACACUUGAGUGUAGGUUGAACUACACAUAUUAUACACUGUAUGUACAGAUCUGUACUGAUGUUAUACUUGACGUUUGCAAACGGCGGUUCAAGGAACCAUUAUUUAGACACGGAAUUCAUGUACACAUGUUCAUUAUUUAAUGCAAGUCAAUGUUUGAACAUGUUCUGAAUUUUUGCUUGUACAUUUUUCUGAAUAUCAUGUACCCGGGUUGUGCCUGCGUGCACAAUAUUUCUUGGCCAAUUUAGAUCUUGUUGCAUGCAUGUGUUGUGAAUACUUAGACUUAGAAUGAGCGCUCAUACACUUCAGUACUGACUUCCAUAAACGUAGCUGUUAUUUAGUGGGGUUUUAUACCUCAACCUCGGUGAUUGUGUGCGUGAAUGAGAAUACCCAACCUAUAUGAAUGUUUGAGUUCCAUGCAGUAAACCAAAUAAAGUGCAUUUAUGCAUUCAUGUAAA